rnacentral:rRNA from 1 species
AGAAUCCCGUGAACCAUCGAGUCUUUGAACGCAAGUUGCGCCCGAAGCCAUCCGGUCGAGGGCACGUCUGCCUGGGCGUCACAC